rnacentral:rRNA from 1 species
AACGUAGGGUGCAAGCGUUACUCGGAAUUACUGGGCGUAAAGCGUGCGCAGGCGGUUCGUUAAGUUCGUUGUGUAAGCCCCGGGCUCAACCUGGGAAUGGCAAUGGAAACUGGCGGGCUGGAGUGCGGGAGAGGGGGGUGGAACUCCGCGUGUAGCAGUGAAAUGCGUAGAGAUGCGGAGGAACACCGAUGGCGAAGGCAGCCCCCUGGGCCGACACUGACGCUCAGGCACGAAAGCGUGGGGAGCAAACAGG